rnacentral:rRNA from 1 species
UACGUAGGGCGCAAGCGUUGUCCGGAAUUAUUGGGCGUAAAGAGCUCGUAGGCGGUUCGUCGCGUCGGCUGUGAAAUCCCGAGGCUCAACCUCGGGUCUGCAGUCGAUACGGGCGGACUGGAGUUCGGCAGGGGAGACUGGAAUUCCUGGUGUAGCGGUGAAAUGCGCAGAUAUCAGGAAGAACACCCGUGGCGAAGGCGGCUUUCUGGGACGGUACUGACGCUGAGACGCGAAAGCGUGGGGAGCGAACAGG